rnacentral:rRNA from 1 species
AAUUGAAGCCCCAGUGAACGGCGGCCGUAACUAUAACGGUCCUAAGGUAGCGAAAUUCCUUGUCGGGUAAGUUCCGACCUGCACGAAUGGUGUAAUGAUUUGAGCGCUGUCUUGACGGGAGGCCUGGUGAAAUUGUAUUACUGGUGAAGAUACCGGUUACCUACAGUAGGACGGAAAGACCCCAUGGAGCUUUACUGUAGCUUGGUAUUGGGUUUUGGCAUUGCAUGUAUAGGAUAGUUGGGAGACUAUGAUGAUAUGGCGCUAGCUGUAUCGGAGUCAUCGGUGGAAUACCAACCAUUCAAUGCUGAAAUUCUAAUCUGUGGUUUGUAGCUACGGAGACAGUGCUAGGUGGGCAGUUUGACUGGGGCGGUCGCCUCCGAAAGAGUAACGGAGGCGUUCAAAGGUUCUCUCAGGUUGGAUGGAAAUCAACCAUAGAGUGCAAUGGCAUAAGAGAGCUUGACUGCAAGACUGACGGGUCGAGCAGAUGCGAAAGCAGGACAUAGUGAUCCGGCGAUUCCGAAUGGAAGGGUCGUCGCUCAACGGAUAAAAGCUACCCUGGGGAUAACAGGCUGAUCCUACCCGAGAGUCCAUAUCGACGGUAGGGUUUGGCACCUCGAUGUCGGCUCAUCGCAUCCUGGGGCUGGAGAAGGUCCCAAGGGUUGGGCUGUUCGCCCAUUAAAGCGGUACGUGAGCUGGGUUCAGAACGUCGUGAGACAGUUCGGUCCCUAUCCACUGUAGGCGUUAGAAUAUUGAGAAGACCUGUCCUUAGUACGAGAGGACCGGGAUGGACAAACCUCUGAUGUACCAGUUGUCACGCCAGUGGCACAGCUGGGUAGUCACGUUUGGAAUAGAUAACCGCUGAAAGCAUCUAAGCGGGAAACUAACUUCAAGAUAAGUAUUCUUUAAGAUACCUUCGAGCCUAGGAGGUUAAUAGGUUGGGGGUGUAAGUACAGCAAUGUAUUUAGCUGACCAAUACUAAUUAUCGAAGUUUUAAUCUA